rnacentral:rRNA from 1 species
UCGAGCGAGCGGAACUAAAGAUUUACUUCGGUAAUGACGUUAGGAAAGCGAGCGGCGGAUGGGUGAGUAACACGUGGGGAACCUGCCCCAUAGUCUGGGAUACCACUUGGAAACAGGUGCUAAUACCGGAUAAGAAAGCAGAUCGCAUGAUCAGCUUUUAAAAGGCGGCGUAAGCUGUCGCUAUGGGAUGGCCCCGCGGUGCAUUAGCUAGUUGGUAAGGUAAAGGCUUACCAAGGCGAUGAUGCAUAGCCGAGUUGAGAGACUGAUCGGCCACAUUGGGACUGAGACACGGCCCAAACUCCUACGGGAGGCAGCAGUAGGGAAUCUUCCACAAUGGACGCAAGUCUGAUGGAGCAACGCCGCGUGAGUGAAGAAGGUUUUCGGAUCGUAAAGCUCUGUUGUUGGUGAAGAAGGAUAGAGGUAGUAACUGGCCUUUAUUUGACGGUAAUCAACCAGAAAGUCACGGCUAACUACGUGCCAGCAGCCGCGGUAAUACGUAGGUGGCAAGCGUUGUCCGAAUUUAUUGGGCGUAAAGCGAGCGCAGGCGGAAGAAUAAGUCUGAUGUGAAAGCCCUCGGCUUAACCGAGGAACUGCAUCGGAAACUGUUUUUCUUGAGUGCAGAAGAGGAGAGUGGAACUCCAUGUGUAGCGGUGGAAUGCGUAGAUAUAUGGAAGAACACCAGUGGCGAAGGCGGCUCUCUGGUCUGCAACUGACGCUGAGGCUCGAAAGCAUGGGUAGCGAACAGGAUUAGAUACCCUGGUAGUCCAUGCCG